CUCCGGGCCCCGCAGGGCCGGGAACAGGGCUCCCGGCAAGCCCGGCACCUUACGGCUUACGCGUCCCCUUAAGAAACAAUACCAUCUGGGUUUAUCUGAAACGUGAAGGUUCCGAAGCCUUCGGGCUCGUCGGAAAACUUGGCGUCAAGGAGAGGGAAACAAUUCAGUGCCACUGAAAACUAAACCAAAAAACCAAACCCGUUACCGUUGAGUCGAUUCCGACUCACAGCGACCCUACAGGACAGAGCAGAACUGCCCCAUAGCGUUUCCAAGGAGUGGCUGGUGGAUUCGAACUGCCGACCUCUUGGUUAGCAGCCGAGUUCUUAACCACCACACCACCAUGGGGAAAGGACCCUGGGCUCCACAGGAGAGGGCAGCCCGGAGACUCCCGUGCCCACCUUCCUCACACGCUCCCGGAGCCGACCGACUCACCGAGACCCGCCGGCCGGCCAGCGCAGCACCGCAAGCUGCUGUUAGCUAACACACAGCCGGCGCACGCGCACUGCAGUCUCAGCCCUCGGGGUGCCGUUAACCGCCCAUCCCCGGAGUUUAAAUCAGAAGAGCGAACCGGCUCCCUCUUCCCCGCCCACCUGCCAGUUCAUUGGUUCCGAGGGUGAGAGGCUUCCGUUUCUGCAUUCUGAUUGGUGCAUAUUUUCUCUUGGCUCUCCCCCACGGGCGGGACGAAGCCCGGGAUUUAGGGCGUGGAGUCCGUAAUGUUGUCCUAACCCCGGCGUGCCUGGGCACGUAGCAGGGAGCCGUUAGUGCCUUUCUCCUGAUUUAAGCCUGGCAGCCAGGUUAGGUCACCGAACUUCAGUUAACCGAGGACGCUGGGUUUUUAGAGAGGUAGAGGUUUGAGCUUGACCGCUAGCCUAUAGAGUCGCUGUGAGUCCGAAUCGACUCGGCGGCAAUGAGUUUGGAUUUUAACAGAGCCCUGGUGGCACAGUGGUUAAGAGCUACCUACGGCUGCUAACCAAAAGGUUGGCAGCUCAAUUCCACAAGGCGCUCCUUGGAAACCCUAUAGGCCAGUUCUGCUGUCUUACAGGGUCGCUAUGACUCGGAAUCCACCCCACAGCAGGGGUUGGUUGUUGGAACCCCCCCACCGGUGCCGCAGAAGAAAGCUCUAGCCAUCUGCUUCCCUCAAGAUUACAGCCAAGAAAACCCUAUGAAGCGCUUCUUCUCUGUAACGCAUGGGGUUGCCCAGAGUCAGAACCAACUUGACUUUUUUUGUCGUCGUUGUUGGUCUCUGCCCUCCCAUUGUUGGUGGCUGCAGGGGUCAGGUGGAGCUGGAAAGGGAGGGCUCUCAGAGCCCCGUCGGAAGUCACCUCCAGGAUGGUAGCUCUUCAGACGCUCCCCCUGGGGCCUAAUACAUGCAGGUUCCUUAAGACCCGGAGGCGCAUCCACGCACCCAGCGUGUUCCAUACCAUACAAAGCUCGAUGGUUUGACCCACUGCGGUGACUCCAACCUCAAUUGCUGCCGCUUUAGCCUCUCUCUCUGUGCUCCAGCCCCACGGGCUUCCUUGCUAGAAUGUGCGCUUGCUGGUUUCUUUUGGGAUGCUCUCAACACCCUGCCACUCAGAAGGGCCCAUUGUUUGACUCCAUAUGAUCGUAUUCUUUAAAAAAAAAAAGAUGUUUCUCAUGGCUGAUGUUAUAUAUUUAUUUCUUUGCAUCCCCCCAAAAAACCCAGCUUUGUAUAUGUAUCUGGAAAAAAAGGUGUAUGGCUUUGGGAAUUGCUGAGGACGACAUCUAGGAAGAAGAAAAGGUGAGUGGAAGACACAAAUGGUUAAGGGCUGGGCUACAAACGGAAAGGUUGGCAGUUUUGCCUUGGAAGAAAGGCCUGGCGAUCCGUUUCUGGAGUGCAGUUGUGUUAUCGGACCUCCAGGUCUCCCUUUGCGCGACACUAACGCACAAGUCCACAAAAGUGAAGGAAGAAAAACUGUACUUAGUUGGCCAAACAAAGGAGCUCACCGGGACCUGUCGCCAAGAUGGCUCUCUGAUUGGCAGGGUGUGAGCUCGGAAGGUGCUAACGGUUACUCUGUGAGCUAUACUUCUGCUGGUCCUCUUUUCCACCUGUUAGGUCACAGAAGCACAGAGGCACUUAAAGCUACACAGCAGGUGGGUAGCACACCUGGCCUUCCAUCCUCAUCAUCAGGAUCAUGUGAGGGAUCAUCCCUGGUUGUAACAUGAAUCUGGCUGCAGGAAUAAAUGAUAAAUGGCUGCUGCUCUCUCUCCCCCACAGGUGAACCUGUGUUACUGUUGUCCACCUCUGCAGUCACUGUGAAGUCACCGCGAGGUUAAGGACAGGAGUUUCAUCCUGCAAACUUGGAAUUAGGUGCCAUCAAUGUAAUGACUUUUGUAUCCUUCACUUGUGCCUCUCAGGUUACCCCUAUCCAAUCAGGCCAUUCAUUUCUUCAUCAGAUAUUGAUUGAUCACCUGGUAUGGGCAAGGCGUGAUUCUGGGUGCUGAGGAGAAAGAAGUGGCUACAAUACAUAAAGCUGUUGCCCUCAUGGAGCUUUCAUUCUUGUGACAGAGAGAGAAAAAAUACACAGAAACAAAAAGCUACACAGAUCGGGUUAGAGACAAAUCAAGCAGGAAAGGGAGGUGGGAAGCGUAGUAAGGGGUUUACAUCUGUAACUGUCUGUCAUCUAUCUGGAGUGCCUGGGUGGUGGAAAAAGUUAAGCAUUUGGCUACUAGUCAACAGUUUUGCAGUUUGAAUCUACCCAGAGAUGCCUCAAAAUACAGGCCUGGCAAUCUGCUUCUGAAAGGUCACAGCCUUGAAAACCCUAUGGAGCAGUUCUAUUCUGCACACAUGGGGUCGCCAGGAGUCAGGAUCAAUGGCAACUAACAGCAAUGUCAUCUGUCUGUCUAUCUAUCUGUCUAUCUAUCUGUCUACCUGUCUACCUAUAUCUACCUGUCUAAUCUAUCUAUCUAAUCUAUCUAUCUAUCAUCUAUCUAUUGUCUGUCUAUCAUCUAUCAACUAUCUAUCAUCUGUCUAUCUGUCUAUCGUCUGUCUAUCAUCUAUCAACUGUCUAUCUAUCUAUCUAUCUAUCUAUCUAUCUAUCUAUCUAUCUAUCUAUCUAUCUAUCUAUCUAUCUAUCUAUCUAUCUAUCAUCUAUCUAUCAUCUAUCUAUCGUCUAUCUGUCUGUCUGUCUAUCAUCUAUCAACUAUCUAUCAUGUGUAUGUCUGUCUAUCUAUCUGUCAUCUACCUACCUACCUAUCUAUCAUCUAUCAUCUCUCUAUCAUCUAUCUAUCAUCUCUGUAUCUAUCGGGAGCCCUGGUGGUGUAGUGGUUAAGAGCUUGGCUGCUAACCAAAAAGUCAACAGUUCAAAUCCACCAGCCACUCCUUGGAAACCCUAUAGGGCAGUUCUACUCUGUCCAAUAAGGUCGCUGUGUGUUGGAAUUGACUCCAGUGCAAUAGGUUUGGGGUUUUUUUUGUAUCUAUCUAUCUGUCUAUCUAUCUAAUCUAUCUAACUCUCUCUCAUCUAUCUUAUCUGUCUCAGGAAAAGCCUCACUCAUAAGGUAACCUUAAUAGCUAAAAGAGGGGCAGGAAAGUAUGGCACCAUCUGGAGGAACUGAGGUAAAAGCAGGGGACAUAGACAGAAAACUCAUUUUCCAGCCCUCCCCAACACCCCUCCCAUACACUUUUUCCAGUGACCAAUCCAAAUAUAUCUCCCUCUUUCUCCCCAUAACACCCAAUGUAAGUCUCUCCCUCUAUAAUCAUUUAUGGUUUUUGUCUUCCUUGAAAUAAUAAAUAAAGCUAAGAUUGCCUUCAGCUCUCCCCUUUUUUCUGGGCUGUCCAUGCAUCCCUCAGAGAGAGGGGCUACGCAGGGCAGCCAGACUAUACCCGUAGUAUUGAGCUCUGUUCAUGGUGCCUCACUGAAGGUAGUUCGGUGGAGGUAUGUAGUCCAAUUGGAGGUCAUAAUGAGGGAGUGUCCAACUUGGUUGUGGUACCUGAAAGGGACUGAGUAACUAACAGAUGCUCUGUGACCCCAGCUUUGUUAUAUCUGAAAGGAUGUCAUGUGAAUGUGGAAUUAGACAUGUAGUAUGUGGCCCAAUAAAUAGAGAUACAACCAAAGUGAAGAGGUAGGAUGGAGAGAGAUUCUACGCCAGCAUUAGGAAGUAUUUUAAAAUAGAUCUAAUCAAGUGAAUUGGGGUGUCUUGGUGAGCCACGUUGCAAGUAGCUGGAGUAAAACAAACACAGACGGGAUGUCCCCUCUCCUGGGAACACUGUAGAGUGGAUUCAGGUGGUUUGAUCUGAAAUUUAUGAUUCUAUGAUUCUAGUGGGAUGCCUGAGGGCAGGUGAUGGGAAUAAAUAUAGCUGGAGCCUCCCACAGGGACCUCCUCAGGAAUGGGCUCCAGAAUGUUCCAGUUGCUUCUGCUGGGCAUACUUCUGGUGCUCUUCAUGGAUGAGGGUAAGGCCUGGAGAGGGAGGUGAUGAUGGGUGGUAAGAGAAUGUAUGGGGAAGAUGGAAGGAGUUCCUAAACUUGGUUCCUGGGCCUCCUGCAAAAUGGUUUAAGGAGAAUUUUUCUUCUCUUCACAGGAGACAGAGUGCAGCCAUCAAAAUGUAGGUAUACUUGGUUUGUAGUUUUGGAUAAAUAGUGCCAUAAUGAAAGGAGACAUUAUUGAGUUCUUCACACAUUAUGCCUAUACUCUCCCUGACUACGCCACAUUCUCCUUACUACUUUAGUGUCUUCUUUCUGUUCCAGCCUUUAGGGGGUGGGGGGGGCUUGGCUCCUUGAAAGUCAAAACUGUCACCUACUCAAGGGAGUAGGGACCCAUGACAAAGGCUUGGAGUGCUGUCAGCCUCCUAUUGGGAGCUUUGCAUCAUUCCAGUAGAAAUAUUUACAGUUCUGCUUUAAAGCUUUCCUCUCUUUCUUUAGAUAUUCGAAAUUGCAAUAAGUGUGAAUACUUUGAUGGAUACAAAUGCCAUGGAGGCAUGAAAAUUUGUUGGAAGUUUAAUGUCUUGUUAACUAACAGGAGCUGUUCCACAGAGCACUUUUACUUUAACGAGCGCAGUACAGGAAGAUAUCUGUUUCGUUAUACAAAACUGUCUUGUCGCUCUUGUGAGGAGGGAAUGUACCAGAUAUUCCAUGAUCUGCUGAAAGAAACAUACUGCUGCUCUGAGGAAGACUUCUGUAAUGAAGGCAAAACAAAUAUAGAUUAUAAUAUUCGUUAUGUAGGUGAAUAAAGUAAGAUUUUUAAGCCAUAUGUCCCAGGAAUCUUGGCCUUUCCCUUCCCUCAUGACAACAUGGGAGCCCUGGUGGUACAGUUGUUAAGUGCUUGGCUGGUAACCAAAAAAGUCGGCAGUUCAAAUUCACCAGCCACUCCUUGGAAACCCUACAGGGCAGUUCUACACUGUCCUGUAGGGUCACUAUGAAUUGGAAUGGACUGGAUGGCAACGAGUUUGGCUUGGUGUUUUUGGUAAUGACAACAUCAUUUUACAUUUUCCUAGAACCUUGACCCUGCUCUCUACUACAGUAGC